rnacentral:rRNA from 1 species
AGCUCCAAUAGCGUAUAUUUUAGUUGUUGCAGUUAAAAAGCUCGUAGUCGAAUUUCUGGUGGGCGAGGGCGGUCCGACCCUUUGGGUGGGUACUUGUCCUCUCCGGCCAUCAUUGGGAGGAGCCUGUCUGGCAUUGAGUUGUCGGGCUGGGGAUUCCCAUCAUUUACUGUGAGUUAAUUGGAGUGUUCAAAGCAGACUUAUGUCGUUGAACAUAUUAGCAUGGAAUAAUAAGAUAGGACAGUUUGGCUAUUUUGUUGGUUUGCGCUAUACUGUAAUGAUGAAUAGGGACAGUUGUGGGUAUUCGUAUUCAGCUGUAAGAGGUGAAAUUCUUAGAUUAGCGGAAGACGAACUACUGCGAAAGCAUUUACCAGGGAUGUUUUCA